rfam:Dipodomys ordii contig_22052, whole genome shotgun sequence.
GGGAAAGUGGCUCAGUGGUAGAGUGCUUGCCUUGCAUGCAUGAGGCCCUGGGUUCGAUUCCUCACACCA